ACGCUGGUUUAGCUCAAUGGUUACUUCAACACAAAUCCAUUUUCAAGGUCCGCGGGCCAGAAGUACGAACCACGGGCGCUGUCCUGCGUUUUA
rnacentral:vault_RNA from 2 species